AUGGGCACCAACAUCCACUUCAACACAGCUUUCCAUCCUCAAACUAGCGGUCAAGUCGAGCGUGUCAACCAGAUUCUUGAAGAUAUGCUCAGGGCUUGUGUGAUCUCCUUCGGCAUGAAGUGGGAGGAUUGUCUUCCUUAUGCUGAAUUCUCCUACAACAACAGUUUUCAAGCAAGUUCGGGCAAAGCCCCAUUUGAAAUUCUGUAUGGCAGGAAGUGCCGUACCCCUCUCAACUGGUCCGAAACCGGUGAACGUCAGCUUUUGGGUAAUGACUUAAUCACAGCGGCAGAGGAAAUGUGCAAAGUCAUUUGA
rnacentral:rRNA from 1 species